rnacentral:rRNA from 1 species
AUUGAACGCUGGCGGCAGGCUUAACACAUGCAAGUCGAGCGGGGGAAGGUAGCUUGCUACCGGACCUAGCGGCGGACGGGUGAGUAAUACUUAGGAAUCUGCCUAUUAGUGGGGGACAACAUCUCGAAAGGGAUGCUAAUACCGCAUACGUCCUACGGGAGAAAGCAGGGGAUCACUUGUGACCUUGCGCUAAUAGAUGAGCCUAAGUCGGAUUAGCUAGUUGGUGGGGUAAAGGCCUACCAAGGCGACGAUCUGUAGCGGGUCUGAGAGGAUGAUCCGCCACACUGGGACUGAGACACGGCCCAGACUCCUACGGGAGGCAGCAGUGGGGAAUAUUGGACAAGGGGGGGAACCCUGAUCCAGCCAUGCCGCGUGUGUGAAGAAGGCCUUAUGGUUGUAAAGCACUUUAAGCGAGGAGGAGGCUCUUUUGGUUAAUACCCAAGAUGAGUGGACGUUACUCGCAGAAUAAGCACCGGCUAACUCUGUGCCAGCAGCCGCAGUAA